rnacentral:lncRNA from 1 species
AUUCAAAAGAGAACAUAUAUGCAAAGUACAAAAGAGAAUAUGUUAAAUCAACAUAUAAAUCUUAAACCUUAUUUUGACUGAUUUAAUAUGAAUAAUAUGGGUGUUUAUUCUUCUAUUUUAACAAUGAAUAUUUAACUUUUUUCAAUUAAUUUUAAUCAAAGUUGUAUAGAGUAAACUUAAAAAUAAAUAAAUUAACAAAUAAAUAUUAUCGUGAAGAGAAACAAAAGAAAGAGGAGCCUGCUCGCUACACCUCACCGCUGCUUUGAUGACAAAACCGCAAGCUCCACUUUUCUGAUACUACUCUCUAUCUCUAUCCGAAUCUCACUUCUCACUCCCAAAAACAAUAAUCACAUGCUUUCAUCAACUAUCUUCUUCCACACACUCGAACCUAGGGUUCCUCCUCUACUCCAACAACACUCUUCUCUACCGUAAACUCGUAAGUCCUCUUAACACUCUUCCACUUCUAGGGUUUUUCCAUUCAUCAUCAUUAUCAUUCAAAUUCCAUGAAUGUUAUACCCUGCUUUCAAUGUCUCUUUGAGUUAUCAUUCAAUGAUUUCAUUAUUCCUUUUUUAAAUUCAAAUCUCUGGCGUGUUCAUGUCAGUUUUCAUCGUGUAACAAUGCGUUAAUUUUCAUCGUGUAUUUAAUGCAGUCCUGUUAAACAAGCUUUUCCUUGACCAUAGUGUGAAAUCACUCGUUAAUACUAUAGUUGCUUGUAAGUUAUUCAAUUGAUAUUGAUGGAUUAAGACCUUGUUUAGAUGAAUUAUUUAAUUAAGGGUAUACAACAUAAACCUUAUCAUAUAAGCAUUGCUACUUAUGUACAAAUUAUUUCUAUAACAAAAAAUGAAA